rnacentral:rRNA from 1 species
AGGAUGAACGCUAGCUACAGGCUUAACACAUGCAAGUCGAGGGGCAGCAUGAACUUAGCUUGCUAAGUUUGAUGGCGACCGGCGCACGGGUGAGUAACACGUAUCCAACCUUCCGUUUACUCAGGGAUAGCCUUUCGAAAGAAAGAUUAAUACCUGAUAGUAUGGUGAGAUUGCAUGAUAGCACCAUUAAAGAUUUAUUGGUAAACGAUGGGGAUGCGUUCCAUU